GAUGAACGCUGGCGGCGUGCCUAAUACAUGCAAGUCGAGCGAACAGACGAGGAGCUUGCUCCUCUGACGUUAGCGGCGGACGGGUGAGUAACACGUGGAUAACCUACCUAUAUGACUGGGAUAACUUCGGGAAACCGGAGCUAAUACCGGAUAAUAUAUUGAACCGCAUGGUUCAAUAGUUAUAGACGGCUUUCCUGUCACUUAUAGCUGAUUCCGCGCCGCAUUAGCUAGUUGGUAAGGUAACGGCUUACCAAGGCAACGAUGCGUAGCCGACCUGAGAGGGUGAUCGGCCACACUGGAACUGAGACACGGUCCAGACUCCUACGGGAGGCAGCAGUAGGGAAUCUUCCGCAAAGGGCGAAAGCCUGACGGAGCAACGCCGCGUGAGUGAUGAAGGUCUUCGGAUCGUAAAACUCUGUUAUUAGGGAAGAAAAAAUGUGUAAGUAACUAUGCACGUCUUGACGGUACCUAAUCAGAAAGCCACGGCUAACUACGUG
rnacentral:rRNA from 1 species